GCUGGAGCCGCAGGAGCUUGAUCUGAUCCUCUGUGGCCUUGGCAGCAAACUCAUUCUUGGCCUUGUAGUACUCAUCCACAGCGUUCUGCAGGGCUCCUACCCGCCCUUCAAUGCGCUUCUCCGAGUAGCUGGAAUGCACGUGGAAGUUGCCGAGCUCCUGGUGGUUGUCAUCCUGGUUGUACAAGUCCUUCAGUGUCUCUCGCUCCUGGUGCUUGCAAAACUGGCGGUAGAGGCUCAGAGCCACCGGCUGGUUCUGCAGCGUCAUGAAGAAGGUGCCACGGUUCAGCUCGUUCUUCAGGUGCAGCACAACAGUGUAGACCAGGUCCGUGUCCCCGCUCUCGAUGGCUUUGCUCAGGGCCAGCUUGCUGCGCUUCAUCUUCAGCAGCAGCGGGACCUGCUCCCCGGAGCGCGGCUCGUACUCCAGCAGCUUGAUGGCCAGCUCUGUCCUGCCGCAGUCGUACGCUCGGG
rnacentral:lncRNA from 1 species